rnacentral:tRNA from 1 species
GCCGCCGUGGCGGAAUGGUAGACGCUGUGGAUUUAAAAUCCAUUGACUGCAAGGUCGUGCGGGUUCGAGUCCCGCCGGCGGUA